GGGGCUGACCGGAAUUGACAGCUUGUGCAUGUCGCGGGUAAGCGUGCCGGGAGGUGGUGGAAUCUCCCGUUAAAAAAUCUACCAAACAACAACCGGCGACUAUUCGUACGCCAUGGCUGCCUAGUUUAGAAUUAGGUAAUGCCAUCGUUCCGCCUGGGUAAGCUUUUACACCUGGGAGUUCGGAGCGUCGUAAGUAGAAGAUAGUCUGCGAGGAGUGGUGACUCGCAGGCGAAACCCAACUGCCAAUACGGGAACACCAAAGGCCUGAUGUGCGCCCGGGGUUCCCCGACAAUCCAAGCAUAGAUACGCACGUAGAAAGCACGACGGCUUCCUUGUCUGGACCAGGGUUCAAGAUUCGGACCUCCCCCC
rnacentral:tmRNA from 1 species